UAGAGUUUGAUCCUGGCUCAGGAUGAACGCUAGCUACANGCUUAACACAUGCAAGUCGAGGGGAAACGACAUCGAAAGCUUGCUUUCGAUGGGCGUCGACCGGCGCACGGGUGAGUAACGCGUAUCCAACCUGCCCAUCACUUGGGGAUAACCUUGCGAAAGUAAGACUAAUACCCAAUGACGUCUCUAGAAGACAUCUGAAGGAGAUUAAAGAUUUAUCGGUGAUGGAUGGGGAUGCGUCUGAUUAGCUUGUUGGCGGGGUAACGGCCCACCAAGGCGACGAUCAGUAGGGGUUCUGAGAGGAAGGUCCCCCACAUUGGAACUGAGACACGGUCCAAACUCCUACGGGAGGCAGCAGUGAGGAAUAUUGGUCAAUGGGCGAGAGCCUGAACCAGCCAAGUAGCGUGCAGGAUGACGGCCCUAUGGGUUGUAAACUGCUUUUAUAAGGGAAUAAAGUGAGCCUCGUGAGGCUUUUUGCAUGUACCUUAUGAAUAAGGACCGGCUAAUUCCGUGCCAGCAGCCGCGGUAAUACGGAAGGUCCGGGCGUUAUCCGGAUUUAUUGGGUUUAAAGGGAGCGUAGGCCGGAGAUUAAGCGUGUUGUGAAAUGUAGACGCUCAACGUCUGCACUGCAGCGCGAACUGGUUUCCUUGAGUACGCACAAAGUGGGCGGAAUUCGUGGUGUAGCGGUGAAAUGCUUAGAUAUCACGAAGAACUCCGAUUGCGAAGGCAGCUCACUGGAGCGCAACUGACGCUGAAGCUCGAAAGUGCGGGUAUCGAACAGGAUUAGAUACCCUGGUAGUCCGCACGGUAAACGAUGGAUGCCCGCUGUUGGUCUGAAUAGGUCAGCGGCCAAGCGAAAGCAUUAAGCAUCCCACCUGGGGAGUACGCCGGCAACGGUGAAACU
rnacentral:rRNA from 1 species